AUAUUAGAGGGUACAAGUAACCUAUAAAAUCGUUGUGAGGAUAAAUCGUGGUAUAGGAUUCAUACACUUCAGUUUUCAGAAAAGUCAACUGGAGUGCUACUUAAAACAAAAAUUGCUGGGCUCCACCUCCGGUGUUUGUUAUUUAGUAGAAUUAAAAAGGAACUCUUUAAUUUGCAUUUCUGUUGAAUUCUCAGUUGAUGCUUAUCUCUCUAUAGAACACUAUGAGAACCACUGGACUGUAGAACUGAUUCAAAAAACUAAAGUGGUUUGAGGGUGAUUAGAUGGGGAAAAUGUUUGCCUUAGGCUAAAUUUGCAAGGAUGUGAUAGAAAUGAAAUUUAAAGAGAUUUUCUUUUAGUGCCUGUUUCCUCCUACUUCACAAACCCUCUGUUUGCCCAAUUAUUACCAAUUUCACUCAUCUCCUAGGCAACAUGGGUUCCCUCCUACUCACACAUCAAUUCCUAUAAAAACCCAUCUUCAAAAACUGGAAAACAUAGUAGUUAUUUGUUAAUCUCGAGUUGCCACAACCAAAAUUUGUUGGCCUAAACAAUGCUAAUCUUGAAAUACAAUAUUAUUUGUCUAACAGAUAAAAAUCAUCAAGAUUUUUAAAGUCUGUUUGUUGGCUUCUACAAAGAGGAAUUACCCUCUGUAAGUGCUAGCUGACCAUUUGCCACAGUCAUAAUGACUUGCCUGACCGAGAUUAUUCUAAAAGCAAAUAGAUUCAUGUAACUUCUUAAGCAACUAAUUACACAAAGGAUAGCCUCAGAAAAUGAAUUCAAUACAGAGGAUGUGGAGCUGAGAAAUUGGAGUGAGGUGAAAAUGGGAAUUAAAUAAAAGCCUGUCAGUCCUGGGUAAUCAUUUGAGUCUUUGGGUCAAUCAAUGACUAAAAUUUGUCCUAUCCAUCUUUACAGCAAUUUGUCAAUAAAUUAUUUCUAGGGUUUGAGUUUUGUGAUAACUACACGAUUACCAAUCACAUUCCAUUACCAAUCGGAUAACUUGUUGGAGAGAAAGUAGUUCAGGAAAAGCAAUAAGUAAGUCAUUUUCCAUAAAUAGACUAUUUACUUACUGAUUAUAAGUUACCUAUCAGGCAGUUAUCUAUUUCUAGGUGGCAAUAGAUUUUCCUCUUCUACUAUUUUCUUCUUUAUCAAUGCUCUCAUUCAUUUAGUUAGCUGGGUGCUUGGAAGAAAUGCCAAGGAACACGAAAAUGUUUUAUUUGCACUUUUUAGCCUCAAUAUGACAAUCAAAUAUGAUACAUAACAUCUGGGAUUCAGACACAACUGAAAGAAGACCAUGCAUUUUGGUUCUCUGUGUUCUUUAAUAGAAUUGACUCUUUCAUUUAAAAAGCUCAGGAAGAAAUGUUAGGUGGAAGAUGAGAACUCAGAAGUGGUAAGUGGUGUGUUUUAAAGAAAACAUAUAGUACUCUAUAUAGGACACUUAGCUUGCAAAAUUUCUCCCAGAAUAAAUGACAUCUUUGAUCAAAUCAGUUGGUGGUCUUUGAAGUCUUAGUAAAAAAAAGAGAAGAGACAAAUGAUGACUAGAGUUUGGAAAGGAGAUCUUUAAUUUUUAAAAAGGAGUAAGUAGAUUCUACUAUCACAUAAGCUUCCCUGAGUAAAAGCAGAGACCCAAAAGAAAACAAAGGAUAACUGUGAGGUCCUGGUAAUGAGUGGAAAUCAUAGAGACAGCUUUGUUAGCAAAACAAUUUCUGUUCUUCCACAUGGUCAUUUGACUUACAGAUCAUAGAAAAAAAUGUAUGAAAGUGAUCUAGAUUCAACAAUGAUGGCAA